GCGGCGUGCCUAAUACAUGCAAGUAGAACGCUGAAGAGAGGAGCUUGCUCUUCUUGGAUGAGUUGCGAACGGGUGAGUAACGCGUAGGUAACCUGCCUUGUAGCGGGGGAUAACUAUUGGAAACGAUAGCUAAUACCGCAUAACAAUGGAUGACACAUGUCAUUUAUUUGAAAGGGGCAAUUGCUCCACUACAAGAUGGACCUGCGUUGUAUUAGCUAGUAGGUGAGGUAACGGCUCACCUAGGCGACGAUACAUAGCCGACCUGAGAGGGUGAUCGGCCACACUGGGACUGAGACACGGCCCAGACUCCUACGGGAGGCAGCAGUAGGGAAUCUUCGGCAAUGGGGGCAACCCUGACCGAGCAACGCCGCGUGAGUGAAGAAGGUUUUCGGAUCGUAAAGCUCUGUUGUAAGUCAAGAACGAGUGUGAGAGUGGAAAGUUCACACUGUGACGGUAGCUUACCAGAAAGGGACGGCUAACUACGUGCCAGCAGCCGCGGUAAUACGUAGGCCCCGAGCGUUGUCCGGAUUUAUUGGGCGUAAAGCGAGCGCAGGCGGUUUGAUAAGUCUGAAGUUAAAGGCUGUGGCUCAACCAUAGUUCGCUUUGGAAACUGUCAAACUUGAGUGCAGAAGGGGAGAGUGGAAUUCCAUGUGUAGCGGUGAAAUGCGUAGAUAUAUGGAGGAACACCGGUGGCGAAAGCGGCUCUCUGGUCUGUAACUGACGCUGAGGCUCGAAAGCGUGGGGAGCGAACAGGAUUAGAUACCCUGGUAGUCCACGCCGUAAACGAUGAGUGCUAGGUGUUGGAUCCUUUCCGGGAUUCAGUGCCGCAGCUAACGCAUUAAGCACUCCGCCUGGGGAGUACGACCGCAAGGUUGAAACUCAAAGGAAUUGACGGGGGCCCGCACAAGCGGUGGAGCAUGUGGUUUAAUUCGAAGCAACGCGAAGAACCUUACCAGGUCUUGACAUCCCGAUGCUAUUUCUAGAGAUAGAAAGUUACUUCGGUACAUCGGUGACAGGUGGUGCAUGGUUGUCGUCAGCUCGUGUCGUGAGAUGUUGGGUUAAGUCCCGCAACGAGCGCAACCCCUAUUGUUAGUUGCCAUCAUUCAGUUGGGCACUCUAGCGAGACUGCCGGUAAUAAACCGGAGGAAGGUGGGGAUGACGUCAAAUCAUCAUGCCCCUUAUGACCUGGGCUACACACGUGCUACAAUGGUUGGUACAACGAGUUGCGAGUCGGUGACGGCAAGCUAAUCUCUUAAAGCCAAUCUCAGUUCGGAUUGUAGGCUGCAACUCGCCUACAUGAAGUCGGAAUCGCUAGUAAUCGCGGAUCAGCACGCCGCGGUGAAUACGUUCCCGGGCCUUGUACACACCGCCCGUCACACCACGAGAGUUUGUAACACCCGAAGUCGGUGAGGUAACCUUUAGGAGCCAGCCGCCUAAGGUGGGAUAGAUGAUUGGGGUGAAGUAG
rnacentral:rRNA from 1 species